rnacentral:lncRNA from 10 species
CACGAUCUGACUCCUAUAAGGGCCAUAUUCAAAAAGUGGUGAUUGCAUCCUUUGAAAGCCUGUUUGCAUAGCAGACAAUGAAGCUGAGCAGAGAAAAACAAGAUGAGAGACAGAUGGAGUAGGAGACCUGAGAAGAUGGCUUGAGUCCAUGAAUUCUGGUGUUCCCUAGGCCACAUUUGCCCCCAUCCUUCCCAGAUUUUACUUUCUACUCUUGUCAGUCAUAUCUGCAAGGCUGACAGUUACCAGGGGCUGUGGCCAGGCAUGAGGGAGAAUGUGUCAUUGCUGGCUGCGUUGGUCAUAGCAACGUGUCUGCCUCAGAACAGAUCCAGCAUGGAUGAGCAAACAGAAAAAUGUGUAAGAAGGCUUGUGACUGAAACAGACCAAGGGUGAGAGAACCUUUGUGGGAGCGCAGAAGUCCAGCAGAGAGACCCUAGCACUUUAUUUGGACCAAAAAAUAAAUAAUAAAUAAAUAAAUAAAUAAAUCCAAAACUAGAUGCAUUAAAGAAGGUUAGACUUCUCCUAUGGAGAAUGCAGCAAGAAAAUACCAUCUUGAAGCAGAGAGCAGCGCUCAUCAGGCAUCAGUCCUUCUGGAGCCUUGAUCUUGGACCUCCCAGCUCCAAAAUAAUAAGUAAUAAAUUGUUAUUGCUUAUAAAUU